GGGGGGGGGGGGGGGGGGGGGUAGCAGGGGCGAGGCGGAGGGUGACAGGAGGAGGCGUGCUUCUUUGCGGAGGAGUGGCGGACGGGUGAGUAAUGUCUGGGAAACUGCCUGAUGGAGGGGGAUAACUACUGGAAACGGUAGCUAAUACCGCAUAAUGUCGCAAGACCAAAGAGGGGGACCUUCGGGCCUCUUGCCAUCGGAUGUGCCCAGAUGGGAUUAGCUAGUAGGUGGGGUAACGGCUCACCUAGGCGACGAUCCCUAGCUGGUCUGAGAGGAUGACCAGCCACACUGGAACUGAGACACGGUCCAGACUCCUACGGGAGGCAGCAGUGGGGAAUAUUGCACAAUGGGCGCAAGCCUGAUGCAGCUAUGCCGCGUGCAUGAAGAAGGCCUUCGGGUUGUAAAGUACUUUCAGCGGGGAGGAAGGGAGUAAAGUUAAUACCUUUGCUCAUUGACGUUACCCGCAGAAGAAGCACCGGCUAACUCCGUG
rnacentral:rRNA from 1 species